GAUGAAGAACGCAGCGAAAUGCGAUACUUGGUGUGAAUUGCAGAAUCCCGUGAACCAUCGAGUCUUUGAACGCAAGUUGCGCCCGAAGCCAUUAGGCCGAGGGCACGCCUGCCUGGGCGUCACACGUCGUUGCCCCCCCAUCUACUCCUUCGGGAUUGCGGGGGGCGGAUGAUGGCCUCUCGUGCGCCUCGUCGCGCGGUUGGCCUAAAUGCCAAGUCCUCGGCGACGCACGCCACGACAAUCGGUGGUUGCGAAACCUCGGUUGCCUGUUGUGUGCGGUCGUCGCGCAUCGAGGGCUCGAAAAAAGUGCCGGGCUUCGGCUCGACUUUCAACGCGACCCCAGGUCAGGCGGGGUUACCCGCUGAAUUUAAGCAUAUCAAUAAGCGGAGGA
rnacentral:misc_RNA from 1 species